UACGUAGGAGGCGAGCGUUGUCCGGAAUUACUGGGCGUAAAGCGCACGUAGGCGGCUUUGCAAGUUAGAGGUGAAAGCCCGGGGCUCAACUCCGGAAUUGCCUUUAAAACUGCAUCGCUAGAAUUGUGGAGAGGUAAGUGGAAUUCCGAGUGUAGAGGUGAAAUUCGUAGAUAUUCGGAAGAACACCAGUGGCGAAGGCGACUCGCUGGACAAGUAUUGACGCUGAGGUGCGAAAGCGUGGGGAGCAAACAGGG
rnacentral:rRNA from 1 species